AAAGAAAGAAAGAAAAAGAAAGGAAGGAAGGAAGGAAGGAAGGAAGGAAAGAAGGAGAAGAAAGAAAAGGCCAUUCAAAAUUACAUCCAAUAUAAAAUCAACCAUGUAGUGCAGUAGCAGAUACUUUCUUCUUGUCCAGCAAAAAGCAUGUCUGGAACUACCAAAUGAAGAAUUCAGGAAAGCUUUGCAUUUAUGGAUCCAUUCUACAAUCUUUGGUCCACUGGGACUCAUCCUACAGACCUAGAAGAAACAAGUAUGACAGCUUUUCAUCAUGACCUUGUGUAACAUGCUGCAUUUUGUUCGGUAUACUAUUGUCAUGCAGAAUCUUCUUUCACUAAAGUUAUUGAUUUGAUUUGAUUCUCUCAAGACUGCUGCCAUUGCUGCAUCUGAUGCUCCCGGAUCCACAUUUCCUUGUAAUAUUUUUCUUAGUGGCAACUUGAACUGUAGCAUCAGCGACUGCUAUAAACCAGAAGUAAUUGGGAAUGGAAAUGCUCCUAGGAAGAUGUGAAUUUUUUUUUACUGACAAUUCCCAGAGUAAAUGUCUUCCAAACCAAUUGUUUUUAUUUCCAGGAAUUGUGGAUUAGUUUAAGAUUGUCUAGUGCAGUGUAAUAGCUUUUAGCCAUGAUACAUGUUUGCAUACCCUUGCUGUUCAUUAUGUGUCAUAGGCAUAAAAGGAAUAGAAGAAUACUUAAAGGAAGGUAGUAAGAUGCCACCAUUAUAGAGUAAAUAUAUGGAGUGUAAAUGUUUGAUAAUUUUAUGAAGAAUGCCCUUAAAUCACAAGUUUCUAUUAUAGAGAUGAAACUCCCCUGACAUAUGGCACUCUUUGAUACUAACGUGGCUGACUUCCAGCCCACUCUUUGAUGCAUUACUAACUGUUCCUUUUCUCUUCUCUCUCUAAAACCUUGUUGGCAGUGCUUAUCACACACAUGUGGACCUGAUUAUUUAAUUCCUCUAAUACAGUUUAUAGGCCUAAUUUAGAUGCUUACUAAUUGAAAAGCAUUUUCAUGUCCACAGAUAGUAACAUAUGCCAGGCUGGGCUUGCAGGUCUAUCCUCUUUACUUCCGUCUCACAUCUCUAUUCUUCCUAGCAUUCUGCUUGCACUCACAUGCAAUUUGUUUCAAACAGGUCUCCCCAUUGAACUGUUCGUACCUCUGACUCUGCUUAAAGAUUCUGUUUAAGAGAAAACAAGAGUAUAGGAAAGUAACAUGUAUCAAUUUCUAUAGUAUGUAUAAAAUUAUAUUUGUGUACUCUUUAUAAAACUAAUUUUGUUUCUACUACAACUACAGAUUUUUGAAAGAUGCAAUUGUUAGAAAAGAAUUUACAUCCUUUUAUAUUAUGAAUGAAUGAAUGAAGCAGUCACAUAUAGACAUUAUAUGAUUAUAUUAUGCUAGUGACUGUGACCAUUAUAUGAGUUUUGCGUCUGGCACUAAAAAUAUUAAAAACUGUCAGGUAGAUUCAUAGACAAUAAUAAUGAAGGAGAACUCAAGAAUGCAAUAUAUUAAGAAAUUGCUAUUUUUAAUAUUUUAAAAUGAUGAAUUAAAAAAAAAGAAAGCAAACAAUGUGAACUAAAUCAAUAGUCUUUCUGGUAUUGACACUAUGAAGUAAUAUACCAUUUAAAAGAACACACUAAACAAUCUGAAACAUUCCUGUGGGCUUUUAACAUGAGUUAGAGCCUGCUGGAAUCACAAUCUCAUUGGUUGCAUUUCAUACAGAGUGUUCUAAUUUUCACUAAGUCCUGAUCAAUUUGAAUUUAUAGCCACUUAAACAAAUAGAAAGCUAGAUUGUUUGCACGCAACCAAAUUGGUCUGAAUAUAUGACCAAGUUUGGGUGAAGAAACAAAUAUACUUUCAAAGAUAUGAAGCUCUGGAACACUCCUUACAGGUGAUACUUUUAGUGCUUUUCACCAAUCUAUUAAUAUACUACUAUAAAUGUUUUAAAAAAUAAGUUAGGAUUAUCUAUACCUAUAUCUACUGUACAUCUAUAGCUAUAUAACUGAAGAUAAGAUCUGAGACAUCAUCUACACUACAUGAAAUCAGAUAGUUGUUUUCUGCUCCUAAUACAGUAUGUUUGCUGACCUCUAAUGUAUGCUAAGUAUAGUCAAGGCUAUGGUUUUCCCAGCUGCAAUGUAUGGCUGUGAAAGUUGGACCAUAAGAAAGGCUGAGUGACAAAGAAUUGAGGUCUUUGAACUAUGGUGCUGGAGAAGACUCCUAUCAGUCCCUUGGACUGCAAGGCGAUCAAACCAGUCAGUCCUAGAGGAGAUCAACACUGAUUGCUCUUUAGAAGGCCAGGUCCUGAAGAUGAAAUUCAAAUACUUUGGCCAUCUAAUGAAAAGGAAGGACUCAUUAGAGAAGAGCCUAAUGCUGGGAACAAUUGAGGGCAAAAGAAGAAGGG